GACGAACGCUGGCGGCGUGCUUAGCACAUGCAAGUCGAACGGAAAGGCCCUGCUUUUGUGGGGUGCUCGAGUGGCGAACGGGUGAGUAACACGUGAGUAACCUGCCCUUGACUUUGGGAUAACUUCAGGAAACUGGGGCUAAUACCGGAUAGGAGCUCCUGCUGCAUGGUGGGGGUUGGAAAGUUUCGGCGGUUGGGGAUGGACUCGCGGCUUAUCAGCUUGUUGGUGGGGUAGUGGCUUACCAAGGCUUUGACGGGUAGCCGGCCUGAGAGGGUGACCAGCCACAUUGGGACUGAGAUACGGCCCAGACUCCUACGGGAGGCAGCAGUGGGGAAUAUUGCACAAUGGGCGGAAGCCUGAUGCAGCAACGCCGCGUGCGGGAUGACGGCCUUCGGGUUGUAAACCGCUUUCGCCUGUGACGAAGCGUGAGUGACGGUAAUGGGUAAAGAAGCACCGGCUAACUACGUGCCAGCAGCCGCGGUGAUACGUAGGGUGCGAGCGUUGUCCGGAUUUAUUGGGCGUAAAGGGCUCGUAGGUGGUUGAUCGCGUCGGAAGUGUAAUCUUGGGGCUUAACCCUGAGCGUGCUUUCGAUACGGGUUGACUUGAGGAAGGUAGGGGAGAAUGGAAUUCCUGGUGGAGCGGUGGAAUGCGCAGAUAUCAGGAGGAACACCAGUGGCGAAGGCGGUUCUCUGGGCCUUUCCUGACGCUGAGGAGCGAAAGCGUGGGGAGCGAACAGGCUUAGAUACCCUGGUAGUCCACGCUGUAAACGGUGGGUACUAGGUGUGGGGUCCAUUCCACGGGUUCCGUGCCGUAGCUAACGCUUUAAGUACCCCGCCUGGGGAGUACGGCCGCAAGGCUAAAACUCAAAGGAAUUGACGGGGCCCCGCACAAGCGGCGGAGCAUGCGGAUUAAUUCGAUGCAACGCGUAGAACCUUACCUGGGUUUGACAUGGAUCGGGAGCGCUCAGAGAUGGGUGUGCCUCUUUUGGGGUCGGUUCACAGGUGGUGCAUGGCUGUCGUCAGCUCGUGUCGUGAGAUGUUGGGUUAAGUCCCGCAACGAGCGCAACCCUUGUUCACUGUUGCCAGCACGUUAUGGUGGGGACUCAGUGGAGACCGCCGGGGUCAACUCGGAGGAAGGUGGGGAUGACGUCAAGUCAUCAUGCCCCUUAUGUCCAGGGCUUCACGCAUGCUACAAUGGCUGGUACAGAGAGUGGCGAGCCUGUGAGGGUGAGCGAAUCUCGGAAAGCCGGUCUCAGUUCGGAUUGGGGUCUGCAACUCGACCUCAUGAAGUCGGAGUCGCUAGUAAUCGCAGAUCAGCAACGCUGCGGUGAAUACGUUCCCGGGGCU
rnacentral:rRNA from 1 species